rnacentral:rRNA from 1 species
UUCUCAAAACGCCGACCUCAGAGCAGGUGAGAUCACCCGCUGAAUUUA